UGGGGAAUAUUGCACAAUGGGCGAAAGCCUGAUGCAGCAACGCCGCGUGAGUGAUGAAGGUCUUCGGAUUGUAAAGCUCUGUCUUUUGGGACGAUAAUGACGGUACCAAAGGAGGAAGCCACGGCUAACUACGUGCCAGCAGCCGCGGUAAUACGUAGGUGGCGAGCGUUGUCCGGAUUUACUGGGCGUAAAGGGUGCGUAGGCGGAUGUUUAAGUGAGAUGUGAAAUACCCGGGCUUAACUUGGGUGCUGCAUUUCAAACUGGAUAUCUAGAGUGCAGGAGAGGAGAAUGGAAUUCCUAGUGUAGCGGUGAAAUGCGUAGAGAUUAGGAAGAACACCAGUGGCGAAGGCGAUUCUCUGGACUGUAACUGACGCUGAGGCACGAAAGCGUGGGUAGCAAACAGGAUUAGAUACCCUGGUAGUCCACGCCGUAAACGAUGAGUACUAGGUGUAGGAGGUAUCGACCCCUUCUGUGCCGCAGUA
rnacentral:rRNA from 1 species